GACAGAGUGCUGACUCGGCCUGGCGGAGGCCGGCGUCCUCAUCGACAGCACGGAACGGGAAGCAGCUCCUCGAGUGCAGAGAGGAACGCGGGCUCCAUGCUGUGCUGCGCACUCAAACGCCCUCAGCUCUGCGCGCUCCCGGCAUGGAGCGAGCACUGAGACCGCAACCUUCCGGCCUUGUUCUUCUGAACCAGCACGAAAGCCGAGAGCAGGACACGCAGGUCAGUCAGCGCAGGGAGGCCGCCCUUGCCGGGCGCGGUCUGGGGUGCUCAGGCUCUGCAGCCCCAGGUGCCAGAUGUUGCGGCUGCCGUCUUCUCCCUGACGCCAGCACACGCUUCCCCAGGCCCAGUCCUGUCACGUCUCCUCCCAACCUGGGGCCACUGCUUCUCCCAGCCCUGACAGCGAUUCCUGGAAAGCUCUUGCUGGAGCCCAGCUGUCAGCUCACCUGCUCUGAUACGCCGUCCGCCCUGUGCGGCUGCUCUGUCUCCACGUGGUUGGAUGGUGGCUGCGCUCAUGGUCACACUGCUCAGCCAGGGGCCACAGAGCCUUGGAGCCCCGUCUUCC
rnacentral:lncRNA from 1 species